AGGUGUUACAGUUCCAAGUGAAAAAUGACCGUCAGAGUGCACUUGGCCCGACGGAUUAACUGCAGAGGAAAAAAAAGUGCUGAUGGGCAACAAAAGAAUGGAAACAGCCAUUCAUCACUGUGACACGCAGAUCAAAGCUGUGCGUUUCUCAAAGCGCACUGCUUGAGUUACUGCGUAGCGCCGGCGUGGAGGCAGCCACUGAGAUAAAGAUGCCUCCAACCUUGGAUUGAGUCCAAUGCGGCCGCAUCCUCCGCGUCCAAAGAGGAAUGGGAUGCCCUGUUGGAAGGACACAUUUUUCCAAUGACAUCAUCACCAAGGGGAAGCCAUAACCUCCCCCAAGCUCCUCGAAAAAAAAAGAGCGCCUUCGCGUGACUACAAUGGCUCCGGCGAGCACCCCAAGGAACCUUACCUGCCCGUGGAACUUCUACAGGAAUCUUCCAUCAUGCAGAAGAUCACUGUCAAGCCGGCCUGCUAUCAGCCAGUAGGCCAAUGCGAGGUACUCCUCUGCUAACAUGUCUCCUGAAAAUGAGGAGGGUGUUUGGGCGGAAUCUCUGGGUGCGUACUUUUUUCAGCUAACAGCUUUAGUUAUGGUCUACUGGGGGGAAGGGGGGUGUGAGUUACUGGGGAUUUACUCUAUAGUUCGUCUCGCAAGUGUGAAGGUUGGUCAACAAAUAAUGAUGACUAAUUUCAGGAAGGAAAUCUUACUAUUUUGAAGCUUGUGCUAAACCACAACAAACUGCAGCAGCAAACUCUUAGCGCAGACACUAGCUUGUUGCAUAAAGACAGCAUCAACAAUCUAUAACAAAGAAAGUGUCAAAGACCUGGAGGGCCUCACUCACCAGGGGAGGGUUCAUGGCGAGGGCAUCUGACAAAACACAAGGUCAGGGUCAUUUCCACACAACAGAUGCGACAAUUUAGCGGCUAACUGUAGUGUGUUGAAGUAAUUGGGAGCCAUUUUCUUUGUCGUGAAUCUUUUACACCGAUUUGAACAUCCCAUACUCACAUUCUACCCUUAAAUCCUGUAUUACAUAGUAAUUAACAAGUCCACUAUUGUUAUUAUGUGGUUAUAAAAGUCUAAUCACAGUAUGACGCCUUUAUACCUGCUGUUGCAUCUUUGUGUGACUUUAAAUCGCCGGGUCAGAUGACCUUUUGAACUAUAGAGCACUUCACGUAUCUGGCCGAAAAUAGGAAAUAUGAGUACUGGCGGGAAAAGGGCGACGUUUUUCUUUACUACUUACCGCGCUUGUUUUGCGGCGACAUGAGGUCCGAAGAAUGGCCGGCAUAUGGUUGAGCUCUACCGAGGAACCUGAUUGAGAUGACCAGCGGGAGUUGUGGUCGUGCCGGAUGGCGUCCACCGCGGCACAAUUUGAGGACCACCACAACUAUUUUAGCGGCUUUAAGGGGCCAUUCGUCGGACUACAUUUCUAACUUCGCCAUGCUAACAUGUUUGCUAUUUUUUCUUAGAUGGAGAAACGGGGGGGUCAAGCUAGCCCUCGCAACGGAGCUAAUGAACCAAGGUGGCGGACAUUAACGCGGGGGGAGGCGCCCUGUCAGUUCGACCGACCCGACGCUUCCCUCCACGGCAAGCUGGCCACACAUGGCCGCUCAACCGACGGGAGGCUGCUUCCAAACAUCGCCGCGAACUGAAUUGAAACACCGUCUUCGCUCCAGUUACCUUCUCGAACUGUGAAAAGGGGGAAAAGACUGUGGCAGUUGAAGGGUCACCAUGUUGUGUGAAGUUUUCCUGGAGCAGCAGCGCUGCCGGGCAGGAGCCAGCGAGUGUGGCAAGAGCGGAAGUGGCGUCCUGCUGGGAGACGCAGUCUGGUGUGGAGUCUUAAGGAUGAACCAUUCCCCCUCUGCGCCCCGGCGCUGUAAAUUAAUGGCAACAAGGGCGCGGCAUUAGGAUGCAAAUGAAAAGACCUUCAAACGGCGUUCACAUUUGGAGCCAAAAUGGCGGUUAUUGGCGGAUGCCUCAGCUCAACUGCAGCGUCAGGCUAGUGAUCCGCCCGGUGGUCUCGAACCCCCCAUCCCUCCGAACCCAUCUGAAUUAAUAAGUGUUCCAGGUUUACCUUGAUCUGCGCGAGCCGCUCACCGGCCAGCCCGCGCAAGGCCGGCAAGCAGAAGCUGACGCCCGACGGGCUGAAGAAGGCCACGCUCGCCGGGGGGCCCUAAGGGUGACGUCGUCAAAAAUGGAGGUAUUAUACAUUAUAUUCCCAAGCAGUGUGUCUCCAGAUACAUAGCCAGAGUCGGGUCUGACCUGCGCUGCAAAAUAGUCGCUAAGAUUCUUCACCACGUCAGGAUGCUCGGACGUUUGAUAGAUUGUCAACGUCUCGAGGGGAACUCCUAGGAUACAAUCAUCACAGGA